AUAUGACUGUGGCAUUACAGAUGUUUCUUCUUUAACUCAGUCUUUGACUAACUCAAAAGCACUGCAGUUUUUAAAAGAGCUUGAUCUGAGUUUCAAUAAGAUAGGAGACUCAAAGCAGCGGCUCAGAGACGAGCUACGAGACUCAAACUGUGUCCUGAGAGUAGAUGAAGAUUGAUGACCAAACGUCAGUGGAUUUACAUCAAGGUUUAAAUCUGUGAAACGGAGAUGAGAGGAGCAGAAACCAUCAGGCGAUCCACAGAAGAGUCUCACUGCUGUCUAUGAGGAGAAAUACAUGUGUAAAUGUGUUUCAUACAGGUGGAAGAGACUCAGACUUCACUAUUAAAUAAAGCAGCGUGUGUGUUAGCAUGCGUAUUAGAAACAUGUGAUAUUGAAUGAUUAAUGUUGGUUUAUUAUUCAGCCAAAUGAUGGUUUAGUUGUAAUUAAAGGUGGAACAGAGGAAGAAGCUCA